UCAAUCUAUAAAUGUAAAACUAUGAUAUCUUUAAACUUAUUCCAUUAAAAAUUUUGCUUAAGCUGCAAAAGGUAGUAUAACAUGUUAAUAGAGAGGAGCCCAGAAGAAUUAUAAAACAGAAACUUUAUUUUUUCCUCAUGACUGCUCCUGUAAACCCACUAUCUCAGUCUUUUCUCCCUAUCCUGAAUGGACUCUUGCAGGCAAGUCCCAUGAAUUGUUUUUUUCUCCAGUCACUCAGGUAAUAAGUCCUUUGGCCAUUUUAAGUUACAGACAUUAAUUUUAGUAAUUAAGAUGUCUAUGUCAUUAGCUACACAUUUUCUUUAAAGCUAAGCCCAGACUUGCUUAAGUCCACAAUGGGAAAGGGGUUUGAAGGCAGAGACUGCUAGGUGUCUACCAGAGAGUCUUGUUCUUUGAAGAUACGUUGCCAAGAUGUGGCAACCCAACCAGGGACAUUUCCGUACUGCCAGCAUCUCUGUGAGAACAUAUGAUUAAGUUCUAGGCAGUGAAAUGUGGGCAUAGGAAUCCAGGCUUGCCCCAUAAACAUUUCUUGCAUGAUCCUCCAUUCUUUUCUCCCAACUGCUGGUUGCAUGGUCAUAUCCAGGAUAAGUUUGGAAGCCACCGAAGAUGGCAAAGAUUGUCAGUCUGGGUCUUUGAAUGACUGUGAGGACUAAGUCUUCUUUUCAUUAACUCCACUCUGCCCCUCACUAAUUGGACUUUAUGUGAGCACUUUCUUCUCCCCACUGUCCAUCACCUCUUCCACCAAGGUGUUAGUAGAGAGUUGACUUUGUUUCUGAGGAUCUUUGCCUGCCAUUUUCUUAAUGUAGGCCAGUGGUUCUUAAAGUGUGUGGUCCUGGACCAGCAGCAUUGGUACCAUUUGGGGACUCACUAGAAAUAAUAGUAUAAUCCAUAGGUUCAGAAAAAUAAAAAAUAAAUGAAGUUUCUCUAGCUCCAUCCCAGACCUUUUCAACCAGAAAGCUGAAAAGACCAGCGGGGGCAACAUAGUGAGAACUUCUCUCCAUUGCUAUUUAAUUUUAAAAGGAAAGGAUAUAGGGUAUGUUGAUUGAAGGAUAAGUUGAAUAUAUAAACCAUGAGGAGGACAGAAAGUGUCUGAAGUUUUGAGUUAGUAGCCCUGGAGACCAUCCUUCCUGUUAGCUUCAUUCUCUUUACUGAUGAACUUCUUUAAUGAUGUAGGUGGAGAACAUGGCAACUAACAGUUCCCAUGUGUUAAGCAUUUCUAUGUUUACCACUGUCUGGGAGUUCGCUCUCAAAUACGAAAAAAAAUGAGGUUAAUUAACGACCUAGACAUGAGGAAUUAGGGGUUGCAUACUUGAUUCCAACUGGGCAAAUCAACUGGGACUUGGCUCCCAUAAUAAUUUGACAGUCCCCACUAUGUCUAUGUAUGGAAGAGUCAGUCUGUCUCAGAGGAAGGAAGUGGUGCUGAACUAACAACGAGAUAUCCACUACAGAUCAGGCACGUGUAAACUUAAUAUAAAUAGCAAAAAUAAACUGACUGUACAAAUC
rnacentral:lncRNA from 1 species